rnacentral:rRNA from 1 species
AUUGAACGCUGGCGGCAUGCCUUACACAUGCAAGUCGAACGGCAGCACGGGGCAACCUGGUGGCGAGUGGCGAACGGGUGAGUAAUGCAUCGGGACGUACCUUUCAGUGGGGGAUAACGUAGCGAAAGUUACGCUAAUACCGCAUAUUCUGUGAGCAGGAAAGCAGGGGAUCGCAAGACCUUGCGCUGAUUGAGCGGCCGAUGUCAGAUUAGCUAGUUGGUGAGGUAAAGGCUCACCAAGGCGACGAUCUGUAGCGGGUCUGAGAGGAUGAUCAGCCACACGGGAACUGAGACAAGGUCCAGCCUCCUACGGGAGGCAGCAGUGGGGAAUUUUGGACAAUGGGGGCAACCCUGAUCCAGCCAUGCCGCGUGAGUGAAGAAGGCCUUCGGGUUGUAAAGCUCUUUCGGCCGGGAAGAAAUCGCACGGGCUAAUACCCUGUGUGGAUGACGGUACCGGAAUAAGAAGCACCGGCUAACUACGUGCCAGCAGCCGCCGUAAUAC